rnacentral:rRNA from 1 species
CCUACGGGGGGCAGCAGUGGGGAAUAUUGCACAAUGGGCGCAAGCCUGAUGCAGCCAUGCCGCGUGUGUGAAGAAGGCCUUCGGGUUGUAAAGCACUUUCAGCGGGGAGGAAGGCGGUGAGGUUAAUAACCUCAUCGAUUGACGUUACCCGCAGAAGAAGCACCGGCUAACUCCGUGCCAGCAGCCGCGGUAAUACGGAGGGUGCAAGCGUUAAUUGGAAUUACUGGGCGUAAAGCGCACGCAGGCGGUCUGUCAAGUCGGAUGUGAAAUCCCCGGGCUCAACCUGGGAACUGCAUUCGAAACUGGCAGGCUAGAGUCUUGUAGGGGGGGGUAGAAUUCCAGGUGUAGCGGUGAAAUGCGUAGAGAUCUGGGGGAAUACCGGUGGCGAAGGCGGCCCCCUGGACAAAGACUGACGCUCAGGUGCGAAAGCGUGGGAGCAAACAGGAUUAGAUACCCCUGUAGUC